CCCUUAGAUGUUCUGGGCCGCACGCGCGCUACACUGAUGCAUUCAACGAGUCUAAAACCUGCUCUGAUAGGGGUGGGUAAUCUUUUGAAUGUGCAUCGUGAUUGGGAUAGAUGAUUGCAAUUUUUCAUCUUCAACGAGGAAUGCCUAGUAAACGCAAGUCAUCAGCUUGCAUUGAUUACGUCCCUGCCCUUUGUACACACCGCCCGUCGCUACUACCGAUUGAACGGUUUAGUGAGGGCCUCGGAUUGGUCUCGGCCCGCUCUUUACCGGGCGGCGCCGUUGGUCGAGAAGACGCUCGAACUUGAUCGUUUAGAGGAAGUAAAAGUCGUAACA
rnacentral:rRNA from 1 species